GUCUGGUUGAUCCUGCCGGAGGCUACCGCUAUUGGAGUUCGAUUAAGCCAUGCGAGUCGCGAGAAAUUAGAUUCUCGGCGUACCGCUCAGUAACACGUGGGUAACCUGCCCUAUGCUGGAUAAUAACCUCGGGAAACUGAGAAUAAUGAUCCAUAGUUCACUACGCCUGGAACGGUGAGUGGAUGAAAGCUCCGGCGGCAUAGGAUGGGCCUGCGGCGUAUCAGGUUGUAGGGGGUGUAACGUACCCUCUAGCCCUCUACGCGUACGGGUGUUGGGAGACAUAGCCCGGAGAUGGAUUCUGAGACACGAAUCCAAACCCUACGGGGUGCAGCAGGCGCGAAAACUUGGCAAUGCGAGAAAUCGUGACCAGGGAACUCCAAGUGCAUCGGGUAAGACCGGUGCUUUUCUUGACUCUAAAUAGGUCUUGGAAUAAGGGGUGGGUAAGGACGGUGCCAACCGCCGCGGUAAUACCGGCGCCUCAAGUGGUAGUCGCUUUUAUUGGGCCUAAAA
rnacentral:rRNA from 1 species